UGGUAUCAUAGUUCUACCUUUACGUUGGUGAUACUAUAAGUAAAUAUUAAUUGAAACUAAAGAACU
rnacentral:ribozyme from 1 species